GACGAACGCUGGCGGCGUGCUUAACACAUGCAAGUCGAACGGAAAGGCCCUGCUUUUGUGGGGUGCUCGAGUGGCGAACGGGUGAGUAACACGUGAGUAACCUGCCCUUGACUUUGGGAUAACUUCUGGAAACUGGGGCUAAUACCGGAUAGGAGCUCCUGCUGCAUGGUGGGGGUUGGAAAGUUUCGGCGGUUGGGGAUGGACUCGCGGCUUAUCAGCUUGUUGGUGGGGUAGUGGCUUACCAAGGCUUUGACAGGUAGCCGGCCUGAGAGGGUGACCGGCCACAUUGGGACUGAGAUACGGCCCAGACUCCUACGGGAGGCAGCAGUGGGGAAUAUUGCACAAUGGGCGGAAGCCUGAUGCAGCAACGCCGCGUGCGGGAUGACGGCCUUCGGGUUGUAAACCGCUUUCGCCUGUGACGAAGCGUGAGUGACGGUAAUGGGUAAAGAAGCACCGGCUAACUACGUG
rnacentral:rRNA from 1 species